GCACCCCUGUGCCUACGGGAAGGGUUCUUUGACCCACUUGAGUCUGUCUCUACCUUGGGUGCGACCAUAUGGCUCCAAGGAUGGGUGGCGGCCCAAAAAGAGAAAAGUGGAAGGAGUGUUGUGCCGGACACCAGUCGCUUGCGAUGAGGGUACUGGCGGCAGCAAGCAUGUUGGUUGACGUUAGCCAAGGCUCGAGAAAAGAUUUCUUAAAGAUCAUUGUGCGGGACGAGAAUCUCACUCUCUUGCUGCUGGACUGUGGACCAUAGAGUUCGUCUAAAAAUUCUUAGAAGCACUACACGUCUCAACUUCCCAACAGGCAGACCACCCUGUCUACCACCAGCGAGCCUGCCACUCCGGGAGACAAACCGGGAUCGACGAUUUGGCAUGUCAUUGCCUGUGACAACAGGAACAGGUGGAUGUCCUGACGGAA